rnacentral:piRNA from 1 species
UAUGCCUUUACGGUGUUACCGACCCAUAUA